rnacentral:tRNA from 3 species
GCUGUAAGUAGUUGAGUGGUCAGCACUAAUCGGCAGGGGCUUCGGGAUUUAGGUUCCAGUGCCGCAAGGCGUGGGGGUUCGAGUCCCCCCUUUCGCACCA